CUAAUUUUUUUAUCCUUUUUUAUUUUUUUAAAUACAACAAUUUAUUUUUUAUGAACAUUUUACCUGUAUACAUAAAUAUAAAAAAGUGUGUUACCGUAUUUUUUUUAUACUAUUUUAUUUUAUAAUAUGUGACAUGAAAAUGUGUCUCGUUCCUAAUUCAGUUUUUGUCAGCCGGUAAAAGAAUGACAUCUGCAGACCCACACCACUUUAUGGAAACAGAUCCUCUGCUAGUAAAACAACGAUGAAAUUCCCAGACGAUUGGGAUAGGAUAAUAAACUCAGAUUCUAGAAUCCUUAGGAUUCACCUUAUAUAUUCUAAUUUGAGUGUGAUGUUUAUAACAAAAAUCUCAAACUCAGUUGGAAAGGUAUCCAAAAAGACACAAAAAGGAAGAAUGUUGUAUCAGUAGAUCUAUGACUAAAACGCACAGAUUUUUCUUAGUUAAUUCAGAUCAUACAUGAAUCAUCUGAUAAAGGGGAAGAGAAAAGGAAAAACUCGAUACCUAUGCGACUAUGAAAUAGCAGUAAUAAAGAGUUUUAACAAAAGUUACAGCACAAGAAAUCAAAGAGACCUUGUGUACAGUCAUAGCAGCAAGAACAACUACAUGUAUCCAGAAAUCAAAAGAAAACAAGAAUUAGAUUAUUGGAUAGUGAAAGAUGUUAUCUCUUAAAAAACUAAAGAAGCGAUGGAAGAAAAAGAAGAAGAAUACCAUUCGUUGACGACCUUGUCUUGUGUAUCAUCCCCAGAAGCUUGAAUGGAUUGUGAUGGAGGAGGUUCCAUGGCUGGUUCGCCUUCUCCCUAUGCACUAUAGGAAUAUGAGGAGUAAAGUUGGGCACUGAAACUCAAGUAAAUUCUAGAAAUAGAUAAAUGCACGUGAAAGAGCAUCGUUCUCAUCCAAGUCACGCCGUCGCAAAAGACAAAAUCAUCCCUUGCCACACUCACGCGCUUCUUACGUCCGUUUUUUUUAAUACCUAUAAUUAUGUUUUAAGUUUA
rnacentral:lncRNA from 1 species